rnacentral:misc_RNA from 1 species
AAGAAGUCAGGUUUUCAUGGAAAUGAGAGAACAUGAAAGGCGUGUCUGGUCUGUUGACUUUUCUGCAGCAGAUCCAACCAUGUUGGCUAGCGGGAGUGAUGAUGGUUCUGUCAAACUCUGGAAUAUCAAUCAGGGAGUAAGUGUUGGAACCAUCAAAACAAAAGCCAAUGUCUGCUGCGUUCAGUUCCCCUUUGAUUCUGGUCGCUCCCUUGCUUUUGGUUCAGCUGAUCACAAGAUAUAUUACUAUGAUCUACGUAACUCAAAAAUGCCUCUAUGCACAUUAAUCGGGCACAACAAGACUGUGAGCUAUGUCAAGUUCAUAGAUUCCACAACGCUUGUGUCUGCAUCUACAGAUAACACAUUAAAACUAUGGGAUUUGUCAAUUUGCACAUCCCGGAUUCUUGAUACACCUCUUCAGUCAUUUACUGGACACAUGAAUGUAAAGAACUUUGUUGGCUUAUCUGUAUCUGAAGGUUACAUUGCUACUGGCUCGGAGACGAAUGAGGUCUUUGUCUACCACAAAGCUUUUCCUAUGCCUGCAUUGUCAUUUAAAUUUAAUAGCACAGAUCCUCUAUCUGGUGGUGAAGUGGAUGACCAAGCACAGUUCAUCUCAUCUGUCUGUUGGCGUGAUCAGUCCUCUACCUUAGUUGCUGCGAAUUCUAUGGGAAAUAUCAAGCUGUUGGAGAUGGCUUAAUGUGGUCCAUGUUCUCCAAAGGUUCGUACUUGCCUUCAGGAUAAAAAGACGUGAACGGUAAGGGUUCUGCAUUGAUGAACAAAUAGGUUGCUGUGAAGAGGUCAACUAGAUCGGAUACCAUAGUGAACAUGGAGAUUGCCAUCAUCAAGAAACCAAGAUUUUUGCUAGUAGUAAUCAUAUAGUGGAAGUAGAUUCAACUGGAAAUAUGAGAACAUAUAUUGGUCUUAGUGUGAAAUGCUGUAUAUAAAAGGGAAAGG